GAUGAAGAACGUCAGCGAAAUGCGAUACGUAAUGUGAAUUGCAAAUUCAGUGAAUCAUCGAGUCUUUGAACGCACAUUGCGCCCCCUGGUAUUCCGGGGGGCAUGCCUGUCCGAGCGUCAUUGCUGCCCUCAAGCACGGCUUGUGUGUUGGGCCCCGUCCUCCGAUCCCGGGGGACGGGCCCGAAAGGCAGCGGCGGCACCGCGUCCGGUCCUCGAGCGUAUGGGGCUUUGUCACCCGCUCUGUAGGCCCGGCCGGCGCUUGCCGAUCAACCCAAAUUUUUAUCCAGGUUGACCUCGGAUCAGGUAGGGAUACCCGCUGAACUUAAGCAUAUCAAUAAGCGGAGGA
rnacentral:misc_RNA from 1 species